rnacentral:lncRNA from 1 species
GUUACAUAUUCAUCGUCCACUACCAUUAUGCCAUCAGAAUAUCACUAUAUCCUCUUUAAUAAAUUAUAUUGGAUGGGAUUGGAAUAACUUCCCAUUUAAGUUACCCACCAAUAUUACUCACACAAUUCAAUCUACUUAUCUCUCUCAAUAUAGUAAUAAGGUAGAUAAUAUUUUCUAGGUUUUAACUCCAAUGGGCCACUUCACAACUAGAUCUAUGUAUAGAGUUUUGCAAGCACAACUAGCUAAAACUACUAAUAGUUCUACAAAAUAAAGCUGGAUAUGGAAGCAUCCUGUGCAAUCCAAAAUCAAAGGGUUCAUUUGGCUUCUAUAUAGGAAACGAUUAGCUACCAAGGAAUUCCUUAGGCAAAUUAAUUUAAUUCAGUAUGCUACUUGUAAUUAUUGCCACCAAGAGGAUGAAACUAUUAGACACUUAUUCCUUGAUUGCACAAAUGCUAAAACAUAUUGGCAGGAAUUGAAAAUUCUUCAUUCCAUUAACCAAAAAUACCCUACCGAAACACAUGCAAUUGGGUACAUGACCUCAUACCUUAUAAGGAUCUUCAAUUUCCUUAUCACGUGAAUCCAGCUACAUACCUGUGUCUAAGCUUAUGAAAUAUAUGCUAGCUCGUAAUAAUAAUUGUUAUAGGCAUACUAUGAACACGGUUCAUUUAAACUAACAACUACGCAAGCGGCCGAAUACACCUACCUGAUUGCUAAUAAACAUACUUGCGUUAAAAACAGACAACAAAAUCUAAAACAGAAACCUCCAAAAGAAAAUUUUUAUAAACUAAAUACGGAUAGAGCUCAUACAACAACCAAGACUGGCAUUGGUGGAUUAAUUCGAAAUUCAAAAGAUGAAGGGAUGUUGGGCUUUGCAGCAGUAGUCCCAAGAGAUUCAUCAACUUCAGCAGAAUUGCAUGCUUUGUUACAGGGACUUAAGAUGGCAUACACCCACAACUUCAUUCUACUACUAUUAUGGUAAGCCAGUAGUACAAUAUGCAUAUAUAGAGCGGAAUAGAAUUGCGGAUAAACUAACAAAGAUAGGCUGCAAUUUUGACCUUAACUCAGCGAUGCGUAUUUUGGAGGACAGCUCAGAUUUUGCAUGGCCAGUUUCUGAAAAAAAAAGAGUGCAGUGCAAGGGUAUGUUUUAGAAGACUUAAGCACCAACUCAAACAAGUUUGAUGCUAUAAAUGGCUAUUGCAACAGUAAUGUAGUAGAUAGUAGUAGUAAUGUCAGUGUGUAUAAUAGUUUGGUACCCACUAUUAGUACAUUAUCGUAUAAUAGGAUACAGUAUAAGCAUCCAGCCUCCAUACGCAACACUUAAUCAUAAUACAUAUUUAUCUUUUUAACCAAAAAAAAUAAAAUUACAGAGAUGAUGAGGCAAGAAAAUUAUACUAGUUUAAGUUUUAUAUGUGCUGACAAAAGUGAAAAAUAUAUUAUUUGGGCAAAAGCUACCGACUUCGGCCAAACUCAUGGUCGAGCUUAUAGCUCAGACCCGAUGUAGUACAAUAAAUAGAUUUUUAAGUUAUCGGUUUAGUUGAUUAUAAUAAUAUUUAAAUAUUUUAUAGUAAAUUUGAAAUGAUAAUCGGGUAAAUAGAAUGACAACUUGCUAUAAUUAAGUAGAUUUCCAUAGGAUAUAGUUAAAUAAUAAUAUAUAUUUUUCAUGUAAUCUCUUAUUUUCCUAUAAAUCCUAAAAGAGAAAUUUAUUUCGAAAUAAAUGAUUUACUGAACUCACUAAUUUACUUUUAGUGUUGGUCCAAUUUUUCCUCUCAAUCUAAUUCUUUAAAAUUUUAUCAUUUUCAAUGAGCAACCAUUGUGAAGGCAUCUCUAUAGUAAAACAAUAAUAACAACAACAAUAAUAACUAUCUAGCAUGGAGGUUUAUCCUAGAAGGACAAAAAAAUUAUUUCCGAUAGAUCCUCAGCUAAAAAAGGUAAGAGAAGCCUUGAUAGCAAGUAAUAGCAUGACAAUAAUUAAAAAACUAAUUCAAAAAUAACAAUAAAUAAUAUGAAAGAGAUACUGAUAAUAAAUAAUAGCAAAAUAAUACAUUUAAAAGAUUAAUUUUAAGACCGCAAACGAUAAUAUGAUCGAAAAGGUAAUUUCUCUUAGGAAGGGCGCCAAAAGAAUAGUUUAGUUACUCAAAGUCAAAGGAAAGAGUCCAAAGCAAUUGUCAUUUUAAUCAUAUAAAUUUGGUCCACACUAAGUGCUGAGAUAAUUAAAAAAAAGCAUUAAUUAUUUGUUUUAAAGCUAACAUUGUUCUAACAUAAUAAAUGAUCUAAAAAGUUUGAAAAGAGAUUAAAAGGAGUAAUUUAAUCAAAUAAUUUUAACAAACACCACUUAUUUUGAAUCGAAGGUAGUAAAAACUUUAAUCUACUUAAUUUCACGAUAGAUUCAUGAGACUAAUUAAUGAAAGAAAAGCUCAUACAUAUACAUAAAAAGCAUCUGUCUUUUUUUUUGUUUUCUUUGAGAGGAUCCUGCAGCUUAAGAAAAAAGUCAGUGUACGGUGAGUUCGGAAUUUAAAGUUUUAUCAUAAUCUCAAAUUAAUUUAUAUUUUGUUCGGUCUAUAAUAAGUGAUCAAUUUAUUUUUUUAUUUUAGUUCAAAACAAAUAUUCAUUUAUAUAACCAAGAAACAAUUCAAUUUGUUUUUCCAAAAUUACUCUCAUGUAUAUACUAUCUUUAAAAUGCCUUUUCCUCCUCACAUUAAUUAUGCUAUAAUAUUUAAUUAAUGGUAAUUUAGUCAUACUAAAUAUUUUUGUUUAAAAUUUCUUAUUUCCUUGACGAAUGCGCCCAAAAAAAAUUGCUCACUUAUUAUGGACCGAAAGGAAUACAAUAAUAACUGAGUUUACAAUUAGAAAUUUAUAAAUAUUUAAUGAAUUUUUGAUAAAAAUAUAGAACAUACGCAAAAGUUGUUAGAUUCUCCGAACCCACGUACAAUGCUCUAAAUCCGCUACUGCAUGUACAUCUGUGCUUAAAUAAGUACCAAAUAGGGAAAUCAUUUUGCUAAUGAUGUAUUUCACAUUGCAAAAACGCUGAAACUAAGGAUGUUCCCAAUACUGACAGGACUCCCGCUGAAGCAAUUGUGUAGCAGCUCUAUAUUAAGCUCCUCGAAAAUGUUGACGUUGCCUGAAAUGUUUCUGAGCUGCUACAUUACCAGCAGUUUCUGCAUCAUUCUCCUUUAAUUCCAUCUCAUCUUUAGGUUUGGAGUUUUCAGUAUCACAAAAAACAUUGAAAAGGGUGUGUAGAACACAGCCCAAAAUUGGGAUUACAGAAAAAAUAGCUACACUUCGUUUCAGAUUCAUUUUUGUAGCCAAGAAAUGCUUAGAAUUUUGUUUCUGUAUAAGGAAAGAUGAAGAAGAAGAGAAAAAAUGCAAGUAAUUCUUGAAAU